GACGAACCGUCCUAACGUUGUUCGGAUUCAUUGGGCGUAAAGGGCGCGUAGGCGGCCAGCGCAAGUCAGUUGUGAAAUCUCCGGGCUUAACUCGGAAAGGUCAACUGAUACUGCGCGGCUAGAGUGCAGAAGGGGCAACUGGAAUUCUCGGUGUAGCGGUGAAAUGCGUAGAUAUCGAGAGGAACACCUGCGGCGAAGGCGGGUUGCUGGGCUGACACUGACGCUGAUGCGCGAAAGCCAGGGAGCGAACGGG
rnacentral:rRNA from 1 species